CACGUAGGGGGCAAGCGUUGUCCGGAUUUAUUGGGCGUAAAGAGCUCGUAGGCUGUUCGGUAAGUCGUGUGUGAAACCCCCAGGCUCAACCUGGGGACGCCACCUGAUACUGCUGUGACUCGAGUCCGGUAGGGGAGCGUGGAAUUCCUGGUGUAGCGGUGAAAUGCGCAGAUAUCAGGAGGAACACCAGCGGCGAAGGCGGCGCUCUGGGCCGGUACUGACGCUGAGGAGCGAAAGCGUGGGUAGCAAACAGG
rnacentral:rRNA from 1 species